GACGAACGCUGGCGGCGUGCCUAAUACAUGCAAGUCGAACGCACUCUCGUUUAGAUUGAAGGAGUUUGCUCCUGAUUGAUAAACAUUUGAGUGAGUGGCGGACCGGUGAGUAACACGUGGGUAACCUGCCCUAAAGUGGGGGAUAACAUUUGGAAACAGAUGCUAAUACCGCAUAAAACCUAACACCGCAUGGUGUAGGGUUGAAAGAUGGUUUCGGCUAUCACUUUAGGAUGGACCCGCGGUGCAUUAGUUAGUUGGUGAGGUAAAGGCUCACCAAGACCGUGAUGCAUAGCCGACCUGAGAGGGUAAUCGGCCACACUGGGACUGAGACACGGCCCAGACUCCUACGGGAGGCAGCAGUAGGGAAUCUUCCACAAUGGACGAAAGUCUGAUGGAGCAACGCCGCGUGAGUGAAGAAGGUUUUCGGAUCGUAAAACUCUGUUGUUGGAGAAGAAUGUAUCUGAUAGUAACUGAUCAGGUAGUGACGGUAUCCAACCAGAAAGCCACGGCUAACUACGUG
rnacentral:rRNA from 1 species